GACGAACGCUGGCGGCGUGCUUAACACAUGCAAGUCGAACGGAAAGGCCCUGCUUUUGUGGGGUGCUCGAGUGGCGAACGGGUGAGUAACACGUGAGUAACCUGCCCUUGACUUUGGGAUAACUUCAGGAAACUGGGGCUAAUACCGGAUAGGAGCUCCUGCUGCAUGGUGGGGGUUGGAAAGUUUCGGCGGUUGGGGAUGGACUCGCGGCUUAUCAGCUUGUUGGGGGGGUAGUGGCUUACCAAGGCUUUGACGGGUAGCCGGCCUGAGAGGGUGACCGGCCACAUGGGGACUGAGAUACGGCCCAGACUCCUACGGGAGGCAGCAGUGGGGAAUAUUGCACAAUGGGCGGAAGCCUGAUGCAGCAACGCCGCGUGCGGGAUGACGGCCUUCGGGUUGUAAACCGCUUUCGCCUGUGACGAAGCGUGAGUGACGGUAAUGGGUAAAGAAGCACCGGCUAACUACGUG
rnacentral:rRNA from 1 species